AAUCCCAUCCUCUCCCCUGGUCGUCCCUAUCCACACCAGCCGCCACACAACCCUAGCCCCUUUCCCCUCGAUCCCCACAGCCCCUCCCUCCUCCUCGCUCUCCGCCAUGGCCUCUGCACUAGGAGCCUCUCCAUGGCCUCCUACCCAUCCCCCCCACCACCAUAGGUGCACACAGAUGAUGGAUCCGUUCCGGAGAAGAGCAGCUCCAGUGAUGGUGGGGUGCAUCUGUGCCGAAGAUGAAGGAGGUCCGCCGCCCGUCUUUGCCUCCUCUCUGCGUCCUUGUUGCUGCUCCUCCUCUCUCUCUCUCCGCACCUAGCAGUGCAGCAGACGGGACAAGGGGAAGGAGCAGCCCGACCCAGCUCCAUCUCUCUCUGGAUGAGCAGGUGGCGAGGGAAGCCACCACGGCUAGUGGCGGUGCUGCACAGGAACGUACACUCCAGGUCUCCAUCCUGUCUCACGAUCCCUUUCCGUUUCAGUGUUGUUCUUUUUUCUCUUGGUGUGCGCUCUCCUGCAUCUCGCGCGGGAGGGAGUGGUGGUGACUAUCAUAGAAGGUGGAGGAGGUCAUUGGAGUCGGCUUCCCUUCCGCUUUGGCUGCCAAGCUCCGCGCGUUGGUGAGUCCCUCUCUCUAUCCCUCUACAUCUUUCCCUCUCUCUGUCAGAGGGCAGCUACCGACCCCAAGGUGCAGGCAGCCAUGGAAAAGCAGAAGAUGCCACACCUAGCUUUCCCCCUUGCCUCCUGCCCUUUCUCUUCAGCUCAUUUAUUUACAUGUGCAAAUUCUUUUUUAUCUAUGCCUGCAAGGUGUUUGAUGAAAGUUCAGUAAGGCUGUGAGGGAAUACCAAACAAGAGAGGAUCGAGUAUCUAUAACAUGCAUCAGAUAUAGAUUGCCGGCGGGUGGAUAUAUUGCUCAAAAGAUGUCACUAGUGCUGUACUGCUGUAGAUGCCAUUGAUUUCAUAUAUCAAAGCAUUACAGCUCUUUCAGAUCCUUUGUAUUUCCACUUAGUUAGCUUGAAAAUCUUGUCUACUACGGACACCUCUUGAAAAUUGCAAAGGAGUUCUAACUCCCAACAAGCUUAUUUCCUUAAAAAAUGUAACUGGUACAAUGUUCUACGUACCUUAUGAGAGGUCAGCCCCGGCAUCACAGUCCAUUCCUGAAGAAGUUCACAUGCAUGGUGUUGAUUGUUGAGUUUGCUUGGUUAACGGAAUGACAUGCCUAUGCAGAUCAGCAGGGGGAAGGUCCAGGGUGAAAUCUUCAGGAGGGAUUUGAUGUUGCUAUUGUUUCAGUUUGCAGAUAGAGGAUGUGAUUCCACCAAGACAGAGACGAUGGUGAUGACAAGUGAGAUUUAUGUUAAGGAGUAUUAGCAUAUGCUCACAGGAUCACUGGAAGCUUAUAAAGGUCCAAAGCUUUCAAUGCAUUUUUUUAUCUGUUUUUCAUGUCCCAAUGAUCAUCUGCAAGUCCGAAUUAUGCCAUUGUUGAUGGUGCACAGGUAUGUUGCUUGGUAAACCCAGUAUUAGCCCUCCUUUCAAGCUCCUGUGUUCAUCCUAGAGAAAAUUCUGGAAAAUACGUCGGAACUAUCUUUUAAUCUUCCAACAGUGUAUUGCUACGAUUAUAUAUAUGGAUACAUCAUAUCGAUGUGUCUAGAGACCUAAAGCCUUAAGAGUUAAGUGCCAAACUGGGGACUGAUAUUAUAACUGCAGAUGGGCUUUAUUCUGUUAUUUUCUUGCCUAGAAUGAUGAUGUUUGAAGAUGGGAUUUGUUCAGUCAUAAGAGCUUAUCGGUUCAGCCUGCAUACUUUUGUUUCUUCAGUGUACAGUGUCUGAGGAAAGCAUUUAUUUUGUCUCCUGAUUAAGUGAAUUCAUGGCUAAGAUGGACGAAUUUCUAUUAUGUGGGCUGGAGGUUCUUGAGUUAGGGCACUAGCACUAGCUAAGCUUCCAUUCUGGUAAAAUGUAUGACAUGCUUGAUGAGCAUGCAUAUCUAUAUGGUUUUGUGGACACUGAUUUAGUUCCAUGCCAGUUUAUUUCCAGCAGUUGGUCUGCUUCUUCAUAGAGAUUUUAUUAGUACUAAAUUAAAUUAGAAACUGAAUGUGUGCUUCUUUCACCUUCAGUCUGAACAUGACAUUGCCUUAUUUGUGACACAGGUGGAAAUUAGCAAGCAAGAUACAGUCGGUGCAUGGAUGACCAAGAUUACUUAUUACUUUAUGAAGAUGAUGAUUCCUGCAUGUUGAUUGUGCUUCAAGGGUAGAAGAGGAUGGGAGGAGGGGACACGCGCUCUAUAUUUUGUUAUGCACACCUUUCUAAACUAUACUUGUCUUCUUAACACAUGUUCAUUGUCCAGUAGAAGCUGUAGAUUUCAGCGUACAAUAAUUUCCAAAACGGCAGAAGGUGUUACUAAUAUGGUGAGUGAUUGAAGGGGAGGCAUGGGGAGAAGAGCAGUCCAAAUGGCAGAUGGAGCAUGUGACCUGUUGAUGUUAGUUUCCAUUUUCGGAAAGAACAAAUUUUCUAUAAUUUGAGUGUACGCUGAUGUGUUAAAGUCAAUCAUUUGGAUUCCCAACUAGACCAUUGUGUUUGUUCUUUAUUUUAUUGUGCAUUGAUAAAAUGUUUCAGUGCCCGUGUGCACCAAGUUGAAUUUUGAAACAGAUGAGAGUUUGCCCUUCA